UGAGUUCCCGAGAGCCUGCUGUA
rnacentral:piRNA from 1 species